rnacentral:lncRNA from 1 species
UUUCAUUCAGAGUGUUAGGAUAGGGGUCUGUCUAGUUCAGGCAUCUCAAGUUAGAGAUGAGAAACGAGACUCAGAAGUCUGACGGUCCUUGGAGGCCGGCCGAGAGGAAGACCUGAGGCUCCCCGUCUCCCCGCCUGGGCACCUCAUACCACCUUGCUUUUCCCUGCCCCAUGUCAAGAGCAAGCUGGAGCCGAAUGUGGAGCUCCCAGUUGGGCUCCAGGCAUGAUUUCCUCCACACUUGAUGACCAGGAGGCCAUUUGUAGGAGGCUGGGACGAGCAAAGUGCGUCAAAGUGCCCCCUGCCUCCAAAUGCUCGCGUGGAGGUUGGGCAGUCAGACACCAUGGGGGAGAAACCCAGGACUUUAGCAGAACAAAAGAAGGGCACCCUCCCUUCCUGGGCCCUGCCAGACUCUUGGCAGAAGGCCAGGGCUACUCAUGGGGCGGGGAGUGGGGGAAGGAGGGAGGGGCAGGGAUGGUCUGUUCCAGCCCUCCUGUGUUCAUCCUGAGCCGAGUCACUGAGGCCUGCAGCACAGCUAUGACACAACUUUUGGGGUGUCCUGGUAGGAGGGCUUUGGGCUACAGGUGGGGCAUUGGAAGCAGAUUUCUCUCUAUAGUAAGGCAGUAGAUCCCCAGGCCUUGCCCUCUGUUCCUGAAAAUGUGAGUUGUACCUUGAACCACAAAAUGGGCUGUGGGGUGCAGCUUGGUGUGUUGGAAGGAGGGCUUUGGAUGUGGGCUGCAACUGCAUCAUCCUUGCUCAGUUCUCAUGUGGCAGGGGUGCUCCUGCCUGGUCUGGGGCAGUCUGGCAGGCUGCUCUGUAGCCCCAAGCCUGGAUCUGCCAAAACUGGCAAGGAGUGGAGGCCUCCCCGUGGAGCAGUGCCUGAACCUGCAGCCCCUGGGGCAGACACUCCUGGCUCCUGGGCACCUCACUCACCAUGGCUCCCCACUUUCUUAGUUGGCUCGGGCCGCUAUUGCAGAAUGCCAUACACCACGUGGCACGUGGACAACAUAAGUUUAUUUCUGCUAAUUUUUUGUAUUUUUAGUAGAGACGAUUUCACCAUAUUGGCCAGGUUGGUCUUGAACUCCUGAUCUUGUGAUCCACCCUCCUCAGCUUCCCAAAGUGCUGGGAUAAUGGGCGUGAGCCACCGAGCCUGGCCCACAGUUGCUAACUUUUAGCACACAGGAGAUUUCAUGUAAAAAUUGUGACUUGCAGCUUCUUUUGAAGAAUCUGAAGUCAAGCAGCCCUGGCCUGCAUUUGUGCAUGGCUACCUUUGUGGGAUCUUGGUCACAGCUGACCCUUUGGGUGGGCAUGCUACUCUUCAGUUAGUUGGGCCCUCUUCAUUAGUUUUUUCACUAGUUUUUAGCACCUGCUUGCCCCUGUUAGCAGGUGUGGACUUUUACCUGAACACUCAGAUUAGAAAGAGAUGGAAAAACCACAUGGCCUUGCAGAAUAAGGGAGAUCUCAUCUCCAUGCAAUGAGGAAUCAGUGGCAGGCCUCUUUGCAGAACCUCCCUGGAGGGGAAUUGCUAUGGUUGCAUGUGUCCCACAAAGUUUAUGUGUUGGAAACUUAAUCCCCAAUGCAGCAGUUUUGAGAGGAGGGAGUAAUGUACAGAAAAAUAUCCAGAAAUCUGUACAGUUGAUAUGGCUUGGCUCUAUGUCCCUACCCAAAUCUCCUGUUGAAUCGUGGUCUUUAGUGUUGGAGGAGAGGCCUGGGGGGAGAUGAUUGGAUCAUGGGGGCAGAUUUACCCCUUGCUGUUCUUGUGAUAGUGAGUGAGAUCUCAUGAGAUUAUCACUCCCCCUCCUGCUCUGCCAUGUGAAGGAUGUGUUUGCUUUCUCUUCCCCUUCUGCCAUGGUUUUAAGUUUUCUGAGGCUUCCCCAACCAUGCUUCCUGUACAGCCUGUGGAACUGUGAGUCAACUAAACCUCUUUUCCUCAUAAAUUACCCAGUCUCAGGUCAUUCUUUAUAGCAGUGUGAGAACAGAUUAAUACAACAGGGUUCCCCAUGGAUCUGUUAUAAAAAUUAGGUUGUGGAUGUCUAUCACGAAACUCCAGGAGGCUGGGCAAAGGGUGAUUGGAAAGCAGUGAGCAGGCACUUUCAGAGCUCAUGUGGGACAUGGGGGGACUCCUGCAUUCCUACCAGCCAGAGUGGAGCGUCCUUGUAGAAAAUCUGGUGUGUUCAGUUGAGAUCCCAGAAAAGUCAUGUCUUGGCAGGAGGAGUAAAGAAGCCCUAAAUAAAGUCUAAUCUAACCCCUUUCCUUCAGUCAA